CAUAGAGAAAUACAGUUUGUCUUAAUCUCCAAACAGUAAAUUUAAUGUAUCUGUUGUUGUUAAUGUAUAACAAACAGUUGCUUUUAUGUUGAAGAUUAUGAGGUUCAACGCGUUCAACUAUAAAUCACAGUCUAUGCAAUCCAUACCAAUUGGUGACAUUAUAUUACACUGUGCAGAUAUUGUUGAAUGUUAUGAUGAUGGAAACUCACAAAUAAUGGUGGCAAUAUUAAAUCACAUUAUGUCAAACUGUUUGUGCUCCUUCUGUGCAACACACUGACACACAUGCGUAAAAAUGGUUAGUUACUAAUGUUGAACAAUAUGACAAACAGUUGCACGCAUAAGUAUUUGUGAAUCAAUGAAAACUGGCUGACGGCUGUAAACUUUCAAAACAAAGGGAAAAAAUAAGAGUAGAAAAAUGUGAAAAUUGCAAUUUUUGUAAGUUUGUAAAUAUCUGCCGCAAAUAAUUGUUGCAUUGGAGCAUGAGCAGAAGUUCACGUGAUGGUAGCGACGGAACCGAAGCGGUUCCCACCAGGAGACGUUUAUAGCCGUCCUCAUUGGGAGCCUACACGGCAUCACUCCGGUGACCAACUCCCCUUUCAUCUAGAAUGCCUGCCGUCUAUACCGCGCACCAUCCGGACGGCUCAGCGACAAGGCAAGAUGUGCAUCGUCCACUUAAAGUGAGAAAUUUAGCAGCAGAAAGAUGUUGGUGUUUCUACGGGUGGACACUGGACAGUGAAGUCGUCUGACACCGGUCUGCACGACCGACGACGGAGUUGGAGAAGCAGAAGGACACGUUUUUUAUAGGUAUAUGAGAUUGUAAUUAAUAAAUAUAUUUGUUUUAUUGAUUAA